AAUCAACGCUGGCGGCGUGCCUCAGACAUGCAAGUCGAACGCGAAAGCUCCCUUCGGGGAGCAAGUAGAGUGGCGCACGGGUGAGUAACACGUAGGUAAUCUACCUUUGGAUGGGGAAUAACAACCGGAAACGGUUGCUAAUACCGCAUAAUGCGGCGGCACCUAAUGGUGACAGUUGUUAAAGCGGGGGAUCGCAAGACCUCGCGUCUGAAGAGGAGCCUGCGGCGGAUUAGCUAGUUGGUAAGGUAACGGCUUACCAAGGCGAUGAUCCGUAGCCGGCCUGAGAGGGCGGUCGGCCACACUGACACUGACAUACGGGUCAGACUCCUACGGGAGGCAGCAGUCGGGAAUUUUGGGCAAUGGGCGAAAGCCUGACCCAGCAACGCCGCGUGAAGGAUGAAAUCCCUCGGGAUGUAAACUUCGCAAGAACGGGAAGAAUAAGUAAGAGCUAACAUCUCUUACGAUGACGGUACUGUUUGUAAGCUCCGGCUAACUCCGUGCCAGCAGCCG
rnacentral:rRNA from 1 species